UGCCAGCACUGGAGCUCAGA
rnacentral:miRNA from 1 species